rfam:Gloeocapsa sp. PCC 73106 scaffold_00177, whole genome shotgun sequence.
CUUAAAAAUAUAGCUAGACCAAAGACAGCAGGUGCAUAACGCUUAAAUUCCUGCCGAGGUUAAAGCACAAGUAUUAAUAGUAAAUUAAUGCUGCUAAUUGGAAAAAUUAGUAGAUUGACUAACUUUUAACAGUGAUAACCUCGGCAAACUCUGUCGGGGUUAUUUGUUUAUGAGU